GUGUGAAAUAGUCAUUUGGGUUCGCGGGAGAGUAUGGUUAUGAGGGUAUUGAAGUAAUUAACUUUUGCAGAGGAAAGAGCCAAGCUGUAUGAGCUCAGCAUAAAUUUAUAGUGGAGAAAGUCAGAUGCACAGUGAGACUUUCUCCAACAGCGUUCAGCAGUUCUGGAGCAUCUUUGGAGGUAUCAAGUGAGCUUUGUGUGCCAGGGUUGUUGUUGGGGGCGCCUGCGGCAUUUAAAUGUACAAGGUGCCAUGAUGUCUAGUUGAGAGGAGAGGGUGGAAUUGUAGAAGGAGGUUGCAGAACUAGAACAUUGGAGGUUUCUGUGAGAGUGAUGUUCAGACGGUGGUGUCAUCUGGGUCUUAGGUAUAUCAAAAGUCAGCAGAUGGUGGUCAGAUAGAGAAAAAAGAAUAUUGGAGAGAUUAGAGACAGUACAGAGGUUGGUGAAGGCGAGAUCAAGAGUGUUUCCCGCUGUAUGGGUUGCUAAAUUGGACCAUUGCGUAAGGCCAAAGGAGGAGGUUACAGAGAGCAGACUACUACUAAACAGCAAUGCUUUACAC